GACGAACGCUGGCGGCGUGCCUAAUACAUGCAAGUAGAACGCUGAAGGAGGAGCUUGCUUCUCUGGAUGAGUUGCGAACGGGUGAGUAACGCGUAGGUAACCUGCCUGGUAGCGGGGGAUAACUAUUGGAAACGAUAGCUAAUACCGCAUAAGAGUAGAUGUUGCAUGACAUUUGCUUAAAAGGUGCAAUUGCAUCACUACCAGAUGGACCUGCGUUGUAUUAGCUAGUUGGUGGGGUAACGGCUUACCAAGGCGACGAUACAUAGCCGACCUGAGAGGGGGAUCGGCCACACUGGGACUGAGACACGGCCCAGACUCCUACGGGAGGCAGCAGGAGGGAAUCUUCGGCAAUGGACGGAAGUCUGACCGAGCAACGCCGCGGGAGUGAAGAAGGUUUUCGGAUCGUAAAGCUCUGUUGUAAGAGAAGAACGAGUGUGAGAGUGGAAAGUUCACACUGUGACGGUAGCUUACCAGAAAGGGACGGCUAACUACGUG
rnacentral:rRNA from 1 species